UACGUAGGGUGCGAGCGUUGUCCGGAAUUAUUGGGCGUAAAGAGCUCGUAGGCGGUUUGUCGCGUCUGCCGUGGAAAGUCCGGGGCUCAAGCUCCGGAUCGGCGUGGGUACGGGGCAGACUAGAGUGAUGUAGGGGGAGACUGGAAUUCCUGGGUGUAGCGGUGAAAUGCGCAGAUAUCAGGAGGAACACCGAUGGCGAAGGCAGGUCUCUGGGCAUUAACUGACGCUGAGGAGCGAAAGCAUGGGGAGCGAACAGG
rnacentral:rRNA from 1 species